rnacentral:rRNA from 1 species
UUGUGGAUCGAUGAAGAACGCAGCAAAAUGCGCGUCGUUAUGUGAACUGCAGGACACAUGAACAUCGACAAUUCGAACGCAAAUGGCGGCCCUCG